ACCGCAUAACGUCGCAAGACCAAAGUGGGGGACCUUCGGGCCUCUUGCCAUCGGAUGUGCCCAGAUGGGAUUAGCUUGUUGGUGGGGUAACGGCUCACCAAGGCGACGAUCCCUAGCUGGUCUGAGAGGAUGACCAGCCACACUGGAACUGAGACACGGUCCAGACUCCUACGGGAGGCAGCAGUGGGGAAUAUUGCACAAUGGGCGCAAGCCUGAUGCAGCCAUGCCGCGUGUAUGAAGAAGGCCUUCGGGUUGUAAAGUACUUUCAGCGGGGAGGAAGGGAGUAAAGUUAAUACCUUUGCUCAUUGACGUUACCCGCAGAAGAAGCACCGGCUAACUCCGUGCCAGCAGCCGCGGUAAUACGGAGGGUGCAAGCGUUAAUCGGAAUUACUGGGCGUAAAGCGCACGCAGGCGGAUUGUUAAGUCAGAUGUGAAAUCCCCGGGCUCAACCUGGGAACUGCAUCUGAUACUGGCAAGCUUGAGUCUCGUAGAGGGGGGUAGAAUUCCAGGUGUAGCGGUGAAUUGCGUAGAGAUCUGGAGGAAU
rnacentral:rRNA from 1 species